rnacentral:rRNA from 1 species
UACGAAGGGGGCUAGCGUUGUUCGGAUUUACUGGGCGUAAAGGGAGCGUAGGCGGAUUGAUCAGUCAGGGGUGAAAUCCCAAGGCUCAACCUUGGAACUGCCUUUGAUACUGUCGGUCUUGAGUCCGGGAGAGGUGAGUGGAACUGCGAGUGUAGAGGUGAAAUUCGUAGAUAUUCGCAAGAACACCAGUGGCGAAGGCGGCUCACUGGCCCGGAACUGACGCUGAGGCUCGAAAGCGUGGGGAGCAAACAGG